rnacentral:lncRNA from 1 species
GGCAAGCUGUCGGGGGAGUCAGUUCAAGGCUGUGUAAUCCCCAGUAUGGCCGGAGGAGAAAUGCAGCCGGCUUGAGGAGGGUCCUGUUGAGCUGAUUACCAUGAGCCGCCCCAAACCAGAACUGAUCAAGCUCUGCUGGCAGCGUCUUUAGAACUUGGGUGGCCCCAUUCGAAGCUGAAAAAAAAUCAACAAAAGGGCAAGGGUGGGGAGAUUUCAUGCACACCCUUGAAUAAAGGAGUGAUGGUUUUCAAACUC